GCGACGGGUGAGUACACGUGGGCAAUCUGCCCUUCACUCUGGGACAAGCCCUGGAAACGGGGUCUAAUACCGGAUAACACUCUGUCCCGCAUGGGACGGGGUUAAAAGCUCCGGCGGUGAAGGAUGAGCCCGCGGCCUAUCAGCUUGUUGGUGGGGUGAUGGCCUACCAAGGCGACGACGGGUAGCCGGCCUGAGAGGGCGACCGGCCACACUGGGACUGAGACACGGCCCAGACUCCUACGGGAGGCAGCAGUGGGGAAUAUUGCACAAUGGGCGAAAGCCUGAUGCAGCGACGCCGCGUGAGGGAUGACGGCCUUCGGGUUGUAAACCUCUUUCAGCAGGGAAGAAGCGAAAGUGACGGUACCUGCAGAAGAAGCGCCGGCUAACUACGUGCCAGCAGCCGCGGUAAUACG
rnacentral:rRNA from 1 species